GGGGCAAGGAAGGCAGAGAGGACUGGAGUCUCUUCCUGGGGCACGCUGUGUAGCAAGAAGCCGACACGAAGGAUUCUGGAACCAAGUUGCCUGGAUUCAAAUCCUAUUUUUCCUUGUUUUGUUCUUUGAGACAGGGUCUUGCUGUGUAGCCCAAGCUGUCCUCUAAAUUGCAGCGAUGCUCCUGCCUCAGCCUCCUGAAUGCUAGGAUUACAGGUGUGUGCCAUGACGUCGGCUUGGAUUCAAGUCCUUGCCCUAGCACUUUCUGAUUCCAGCUGUGUCCAGCCUGCAGAUCACGGCUUGCCCCUGCUGGCACACAGCUUGGGCAAGUUGCCUGACGCUUUCGUAUCUCCGUUUUCUCAUGUGUACAGUGGGGAUGCUCCGUCCCCGAGAGGGGUUGUGAGCAGACAGUGUGUUGACCCAGAGCCAGUGGUUGAGAGAUGACAGCUCGGUGCUCCUGCCCCCAGCCUGGCCGGCCUUGGGUGGAGGAGGGAGGUGAAUGGCCACGGCCCCACCCUGCCUGCUGCAGGAAGGAUGUGUAGGAAGAAAUUCCUGGAAGGCACUGCUCCGUGGCCACCGAACUCCAACUCUGGAAGUCAGAAGCCGCAUCCAGUGCACGAGCGGUUUCCUCUGCCCUCUACCUGCAGUGCACACCUGGAUCCAAGAAUGGGGUGCCCAGACGGUCUUUAUUCAGGGGCACCCAGAGGGCACCUGGCCAAGUGCAACAUCCAGGCCUAGGGUGCCCUCCUGUCCCACCCGCUGUGCCCCGGUCAAACCCUGCUCCCCGCUCCCCCUUGCCCGCCUUCUUCACCCUCAUGGUCAGUUUUCACCAGCCUGGAUGGCUGUGGGUCCCUUGCUGGUACCCGAGAGUGGGUGCGACCCUGUCCUGUGUCCAUUCUGUGACAUGGUGAGUUCCCUUUGCAUAGGCCUAGGGCGACCUGUUCCCGCCACAGAGAACAGCUGUGCGGCUGGCUGUACGAAGGCCCUGGCCAUCGGGUCCUGA
rnacentral:lncRNA from 1 species